rnacentral:lncRNA from 1 species
GUGGGUGCAUAUACAAGAGUGACCCUCGGAUCAAGGCUAUUUUCUGGAUUAACCUGCGGUCCUGAAGCAUUUACUGCAGUUAGAGCAGGGGUCCCUGAUCCCCCAGCCACGGUUCGUGGCCUGUUAGGAAUUUGGCUGCACAGCAGGAGCUGAGUGGCAGGCACGGGCUCCCCAAAGGCCAGGAACGAGUCUGGUUUCUGGAACAGCACUGUCUCCUCAGCACCUAGACCUGGGCACAUAGCAGACAACCAAGGAAUGCCCAUCAACGAGAGGAGGCCUCACCUCAUGGCGGCCAUGUGGGGCAGGAAUGACUGUAAUCCCCCCUAACCAAUGGAACAGCUAAGACUCAGAGAGGCUCCGUCGUUGCUCUGGGACCUCGUUGCUGACCCUGGAUGACAGACCACUGCCUAGGAUGAAAUUCCCCUCUGGAUGGAUGGCUUCUGGUUUGGUGAUGGAAUGGAUUCCAGGGCCUCUGAGGAAGGCAGGAAGCCUUGGGACUUGGCAAUCUCCACAGGAGAUGGGGUGUGUGCUAGUGACCCCUGAACAGCACCAGUUUGAACUGGGGGGUCCACUUAUAUGUGGAGUUUCUCUCUCUGCCACCUCUGGGACAGCAAGACCAAUGCCUCCUCCCCCUCCUCCUCCUGAGCCUACUCACUGUGAGUAGGAUGAAGACCUUUAGGAUGAUCCAUUUCCACUUAAUCAAUAGCAGAUAUAUUUUCUCUUCCUUAUGAGUCUUUUAACAACAUUUUCUUUUCUCUAGCUUAUUUUAUUGUAAGAAUACGGUGUUGAAUGCAUAUAACGUGCAAAUACAUGUUAAUCAACUGUUUAUGUUACGGGUAUGGCUUCUGGCCAACAGUAAGCUAUUAAUAGUUAAGUUUUGGGGAAGUCAAAAGUUAUAUGCAAUUUUUUGACUGCACAGGGAGUCAGCACCCCUCACUCCUCAUUGUUCAGGGUCAACUGUACUUGGUUUCCAAGCCUCCCUUAUAAGUCGGUAUGGCCAUGGGACCCAGUUUUAGAUGUGAGAAGAGAAGAAGGGUUGCAUCUGGGAAGGAUUUCUUUCUGGAUGAAAGAUAGUCUUUUGAGGAGCGGCUCCUUGGUCCCUGCCCUGUCCCUCCUGCUGGAGAUGCUGCAUGCAAGGGCCUGAUGUCUGGAAUUGAAGCAUCCAUGUGGUGACCAUGAGACAAGAAGCAUGACAAUAAAAUUUCACUGGGUGGAAGAAUGAGGAAGUCUGGAUUCUUGAUGAUACUGUUGCCGUCUGAACAUGCCCUGUGACCCUGUACUUCUGGGCAUCUGGUUACAUGAGCAAUAAAUAUUCUUACGGC